UCCAUCACACAGCUGCCGAGCCUGUCUUGUUCUCAGUUGGCUUUCGGAAUGAAGCCCUGGAGCCAGAACUGGCCAAGCAAUGGAUAAAGAUGGAGGGAAUGCCUGGCUGGAUCCCUGUGAGCCUGUGGAAGCCCGAGAGGGGGCUCCACCUGAGCGGACCUGCUGCCCCCCCGACGACCCUGACCUCACUCUGAGAGAUGCAAGCUGCCAUUUGAAGAAGUCUGUGGGGCAAGGACCUGACCACUCGAGUAGACAACCAUGCCAUCUUCACUGCAGAGAGAAUGUCAAGGUGUGAUCACCCCAAAGACCCCCAGAAACCAUCACUGGACCCCCUGACUCUGGCCUUGAAGACUUUCAUCUCUGGAGGGAGAAGACCACAGACUCCCCAAUCCUUGUCAAAAGCUGUGUUUUUUCAAACUAAACCUGUAAGACCCCUUGCCAUCCCCUCUCAAGGAAGGACAGAGUUUGGAGGACAUUAGCCUGCUGUCACUUCCUUUUCCUGACAAAGCAAUAAAGGCUGUUCUUUCUGCUU